rnacentral:rRNA from 1 species
GACGAACGCUGGCGGCGUGCCUAAUACAUGCAAGUAGAACGCUGAAGGAGGAGCUUGCUCUUCUGGAUGAGUUGCGAACGGGUGAGUAACGCGUAGGUAACCUGCCUGUUAGCGUGGGAUAACUAUUGGAAACGAUAGCUAAUACCGCAUAAGAGUAGAUGUUGCAUGACAUUUACUUAAAAGUUGCAAUUGCAUCACUACCAGAUGGACCUGCGGUGGAUUAGCUAGUUGGUGGGGUAACGGCUUACCAAGGCGACGAUACAUAGCCGACAUGAGAGGGGGGUCGGCCGGACUGGGAGUGAGACACGGCACAGACGGCUACGGGAGGGAGCAGUAGGGAAUCGUGAGGAAGGGGCGGAAGUCUGAGCGAGCAGCGCGGCGUGAGUAAAGAAGGAUGUCGGAUCGGAGAGGUCUGUUGUAGGGGAGGAACGAGUGUGAGAGUGGAAAGUACACAGUGUGACGGUAUCUGACAAGAAAGGGACGGCUAACUACGUG